CAGGACGAACGCUGGCGGCGUGCCUAAUACAUGCAAGUCGAGCGGACAGAAGGGAGCUUGCUCCCGGAUGUUAGCGGCGGACGGGUGAGUAACACGUGGGUAACCUGCCUGUAAGACUGGGAUAACUCCGGGAAACCGGAGCUAAUACCGGAUAGUUCCUUGAACCGCAUGGUUCAAGGAUGAAAGACGGUUUCGGCUGUCACUUACAGAUGGACCCGCGGCGCAUUAGCUAGUUGGUGGGGUAAUGGCUCACCAAGGCGACGAUGCGUAGCCGACCUGAGAGGGUGAUCGGCCACACUGGGACUGAGACACGGCCCAGACUCCUACGGGAGGCAGCAGUAGGGAAUCUUCCGCAAUGGACGAAAGUCUGACGGAGCAACGCCGCGUGUAUGAAGAAGGUUUUCGGAUCGUAAAGUACUGUUGUUAGAGAAGAACAAGGAUAAGAGUAACUGCUUGUCCCUUGACGGUAUCUAACCAGAAAGCCACGGCUAACUACGUGCCAGCAG
rnacentral:rRNA from 1 species